GGCAAUGAUGCGUAGCCGAACUGAGAGGUUGAUCGGCCACAUUGGGACUGAGACACGGCCCAAACUCCUACGGGAGGCAGCAGUAGGGAAUCUUCCACAAUGGGCGAAAGCCUGAUGGAGCAACGCCGCGUGGGUGAAGAAGGUCUUCGGAUCGUAAAACCCUGUUGUUAGAGAAGAAAGUGCGUGAGAGUAACUGUUCACGUUUCGACGGUAUCUAACCAGAAAGCCACGGCUAACUACGUGCCAGCAGCCGCGGUAAUACGUAGGUGGCAAGCGUUAUCCGGAUUUAUUGGGCGUAAAGGGAACGCAGGCGGUCUUUUAAGUCUGAUGUGAAAGCCUUCGGCUUAACCGGAGUAGUGCAUUGGAAACUGGGAGACUUGAGUGCAGAAGAGGAGAGUGGAACUCCAUGUGUAGCGGUGAAAUGCGUAGAUAUAUGGAAGAACACCAGUGGCGAAAGCGGCUCUCUGGUCUGUAACUGACGCUGAGGUUCGAAAGCGUGGGUAGCAAACAGGAUUAGAUACCCUGGUAGUCCACGCCGUAAACGAUGAAUGCUAAGUGUUGGA
rnacentral:rRNA from 1 species